rnacentral:rRNA from 1 species
UACGUAGGGUGCGAGCGUUAAUCGGAAUUACUGGGCGUAAAGCGUGCGCAGGCGGUUUGCUAAGACCGAUGUGAAAUCCCCGGGCUUAACCUGGGAACUGCAUUGGUGACUGGCAGGCUAGAGUAUGGCAGAGGGGGGUAGAAUUCCACGUGUAGCAGUGAAAUGCGUAGAGAUGUGGAGGAAUACCGAUGGCGAAGGCAGCCCCCCGGGCCAAUACUGACGCUCAUGCACGAAAGCGUGGGGAGCAAACAGG